rnacentral:ncRNA from 1 species
UAGUAAUAUUAUUUUUUAAUCCUUUAAUAUUAGUUCUUCCUAUUAUACUAAAGUAGAAUUUAGUAAGUAUUAGAUUAUUUACCUAUUAAUAGGAAAUAUAAGCUAGGUUUAGACUGUUGUAAGAUAGGUUAGUUUUACCCUACUAUUAACUAUUAUCAUAAUAGUAAUUUAACUUAGUACAAAAGGAACUAUUGAUUUAAAUAAUUAGUUUUUACAGCUGUCUAACAGGGAAAUUUUAGCACUUUUCCCGGAAUUCGACCCAGAUUGUCAAGGCACGCCCUGGAUGCCGGUGUAUGUGUAAAAACAGGACUAUCGCACCAUACUUAACACUAACAGUGCCUGUACAUUGUUUCCUCCCAUAUUCAAACUACUGCCAGCACUCUGCAGCUGCCCACCACCGUCGACCGAUAGGUCCUAUCUAGCUCUCCCUUCUACGCUACCAAGCAAACAGACUUUAGUUCAAUCGCGCUAGCUGCUAUGCCAACGGUUCAUGUACAUACUCGUGGGUUUUGCUCAGGGCUCAGCCGGCGGCCGAGAGAUGUUGCGCCAUCUCGUCAGGUGACCUGGC